rnacentral:lncRNA from 10 species
CGGAGCUGUUCCUAUUCGGCCAUCUUGGCUCCUCCCUCGGAAACAUAUCUUAAAGGCACUAUAUAUUGACUUCCGACAAUGAAAGUAUUUGGAGAAGGGCUCAGACAGUGUCACAAGCCUCAAGCAGUGCAGGCUAGAACUCACAGGCAAAAGAACGGGCAGAAUACAUGGAGACCCCAGCCUGCAGACCCUCGGCAUCACAUAGAGAGGUGUACUUGGGCCAGGUCGUAAAAAGAAAGUUCGGGUUUGCAGAGACUACACACAUGCAUAUUUUGCAUCAGGAAAAAUAAAAGAAGCUUGAGACUCUUCAAAA